GACGUAGGAGGCAAGCGUUGUCCGGAAUUACUGGGCGUAAAGCGCGUGUAGGUGGUGGGACAAGUCUGCUGUGAAAGCGCCUGGCUUAACCGGGCGAGGUCGGCGGAAACUGUCCGACUCGAGGACGGUAGAGGGGGGUGGAAUUCCCGGUGUAGUGGUGAAAUGCGCAGAUAUCAGGAAGAACACCCGUGGCUAAGGCGGCUCUCUAGUACGGUACUGACGCUGAGACGCGAAAGCGUGGGGAGCGAACAGG
rnacentral:rRNA from 1 species